AUUGAACGCUGGCGGCAUGCCUUACACAUGCAAGUCGAACGGCAGCACGGGUGCUUGCACCUGGUGGCGAGCGGCGAACGGGUGAGUAAUACAUCGGAACAUGUCCUGUAGUGGGGGAUAGCCCGGCGAAAGCCGGAUUAAUACCGCAUACGAUCUACGGAUGAAAGCGGGGGACCUUCGGGCCUCGCGCUAUAGGGUUGGCCGAUGGCUGAUUAGCUAGUUGGUGGGGUAAAGGCCUACCAAGGCGACGAUCAGUAGCUGGUCUGAGAGGACGACCAGCCACACUGGGACUGAGACACGGCCCAGACUCCUACGGGAGGCAGCAGUGGGGAAUUUUGGACAAUGGGCGAAAGCCUGAUCCAGCAAUGCCGCGUGUGUGAAGAAGGCCUUCGGGUUGUAAAGCACUUUUGUCCGGAAAGAAAUCCUUGGCUCUAAUACAGUCGGGGGAUGACGGUACCGGAAGAAUAAGCACCGGCUAACUACGUG
rnacentral:rRNA from 1 species